AGGGAAUAUUGGACAAUGGGGGCAACCCUGAUCCAGCCAUGCCGCGUGAGUGAAGAAGGCCCUCGGGUUGUAAAGCUCUUUUGUCCGGAAAGAAAAGCAUUCGGUGAAUACCCGGAUGUUCUGACGGUACCGAAAUAAUAAGCACCGGCUAACUUCGUGCCAGCAGCCGCGGUAAUACGAAGGGUGCAAGCUUUACGCGGAAUUACUGGGCGUAAAGCGUGCGUAGGUGGUUGUUUAAGUCUGAUGUGAAAGGCCUGGGCUCAACCUGGGAAUUGUAUUGGAACCUGGGCAGCUAGAGUGCGGUAGAGGGUAGUGGAAUUCCCGGUGUAGCAGUCAAAUGCGUUGAGAGCGGGAGGAACAUCUGUGGCGAAGGCGACUGCAUGGACCAGCACUGACACUGAG
rnacentral:rRNA from 1 species